GGGGCAUGUGCCUGGACGCCCAUGGGCUCCCGUCGGCAACACAGGGCCUCCUUUAGGCUUCUAGACCCUCAAGGAGAGCCAGGGCAGGCUGGGAACUCCUGGGAAGGGCCUUGAGAGGUUAAAAAAGAACUUACUGGUUUUCUGUCUGAUUGUAAAACUAUAUGCUCGUGGCGGGGAACUUGGCAAAUGGAGAACAAGGAGAAAGAGAAAGCAAGCUAGAGCUGUGGACCCGGACAGUUAGCUUCUCAUUCAUCUUCCAGAUAAAGUCCCCCGACGGAAGUGGUAGCCCAUGCGGGCAGCCACGUCCGUCUCUGGCUGUUCCCCAGGACUGCCUCCACUGACCUCCUGCCCCCGAAGCUGGCUCCUUUCAUGUUUUAGGCUCAGCUCCAAUUCAGUCCUCGGAGACCUCCCUGACCCCUGUCUGCAUCCCAGUUGCUUAGCCUGGGUGGAUUUUUUUUUUUUUUUUUUUUCCUGGAACUCACUUCUGUUUCUAAUUCUCUCAUUUCCUUGUUUGUUGGCUGGCCACCAUUCCCAGGAAUCUACCUGAGGGCCCUGCCUCAAGGGCACAGGGUCUGUGCAUCGGUGGGGGCUUCAUUGUUAUUUCUUAAUUAGGGAGUAGCCCACCGAGGUUUCUAGUAUUUCAACCACAUGAAUGUGGCGAUGAUGAACGUGGCCCAUAUGUAUAAAUAUUCACUGAGCCCUGCCUGUUUUUUUCCCUCUCUUGGAAUAUCUCAUAUGUACGCCAUUCUCCUCCCCUCUUUCUCUGUGUGUCUGUUGUUUGUUUUCUGGAAGGGGUCAGAGUACUGAGCUGGGGGCAGGGACUUCACGUCCCUAACUCCUGCUUCAGCCUUUGGCAAAUUCCAUGACUCCAAUGCCUCUUUUUUCUUUUCUGUGUUUGAAAAGCCAGUAAAGAAUUCUGCCUAAGGUAUGAGUUGUGAGCCCCAAAUAAGAUCCUGGAACUCUCUAGACUCAAAAGAAACAGUGAAGAAACACACACACCCCCCACGGAAAGGUCCACACUCAUUCUUCCGCUUUCAUUAAAGCCCCAGAGAGGGUCACUUGGAGACUGAGGUGCCCCAGACGCCACGGAGUACCCCAGCUCCCCUUGUGUCGCCGGCUUCUCCCUCCUCCCUAGAAUCUGGGGUCACCUCUGUAUUGGAUCCCCGCGGAAGAGGUUCCCAAUAUCCAAACCCAGAAAAUAAAUCUGGAGAGAGAACCCCUCGACUCCAUCUGCACACUCGCUGGCCCCCUUCCCAGGCCCUGGCCGGUGCCCGAGUGUCCCAGGGAUGGAUGGGCACGGCUUGGGGCGCCCCACUUCGUCGGGGGCUGCCUCCUCGAAUUGAGCGGGGUCAGGGGGCCUGGGGUACAAGGGUGUGCCUGUCAGAGUCCUAGGUGGGACGGGAGCGGGGUGGGGGGAGGCGCUGGGAGUCAGGGUGGAGGGCGUAUAAGGGACCCGCGGGGUGGCGUCACCCGACUCACCGCCCCCCGAGACAUCACAAUCUGGGGGCCGGGACCCCGCGCUUCAUCACCAACCCUUUUGCAACCACACAAUCCCAGCCACAAAC
ensembl:lncRNA